GUCAGCAGUUACUCAUAGAGAUGGAUAGAAAAGAUCAGAAGCAGUCCAGUGAAGCUUGUGAGGAAGUAGACCUUAGCUGUCAGCCACAGGAUACCUAGGCAGGAAUCCAGAGUAGAGAGAGGGCUUGUGUUCUCCACCAGCUACUGAGGAAGGUGGGGUGAAAUCCCUUGAAGUAAUGAGUGUAAGGACCAUGUAGCCCAGAGACAGGCCAUCUACUCUCACUUGAGAUGAAAAGUGUGGCUAGAGCUAGGAACUGAGUAGGACAAUGGCUCAUCUGAGGCUCCCGGGAGGGGAGGCUGAUGUUUGACUAUUUGUGUUUAUCAGGGACCUGGCAACAGUUGUUAAGUCAGGCCACAGUAGGGUGCCUUGCCUGAAGGGAAAUGCUGGGUCUGAACACUGAGCCCAGAGGGUGAACAGAUGAAUAACUCAGAGGGGCUGUGAUCUAAGCCCAGGUGGGAUAAAGAUCCCUUUGUUUUGGACUUGUGACUCUGGAUUCUGCUGUCUUGGAAGAAGUGAAGAAAAUCCUGAAAGAAGCCAGGCAUUUUUUUUUUUUUCUCCAUGAAGAUGCGAACACCCGAUUUUCUGCUUCUUUUGCUAGCGGUGAGGAUUUUUCAUGCAACUCUAAUGAUAAACAAAUUACGUAUUCAAAGGUUGCCCUGAGGAACAAUACUGUGUGUUGUCUAUCUGAGCAGCCUUGGUUUAUGGGUUAAUCCUGUAAUUAAUCAGCUGAAAUAUAGCUAAGGAUGGGGAAAACAAUAUUAAUGAUAUAUUUUGUGGGUCUCAGUUAUCCCUUUCCUGUUGGGGAAAGGAACUUAGUCUUGAGCCAGCUUAAGAUCCCAAAUAAAGUCAUCUGUAUUAAUGUGUUAUUAACUAA